GCAUGACUGAAUACUGUGUUCUUUUUUUUUUUUUUAUGUGUUUUUUUUGUGUUCUUUCAUCAAUUUACACAGCCAGACACUAUGCAAAAGUAAGGUAUUCCCUUGAAAAUUAUUUUGGUAUGCUGAUUUUUCCUUAGCAUGUAAUUGGCAUAACUCACAA